rnacentral:rRNA from 1 species
UCGCCCCGGUUUUUUAUAGAUGGGUUCUAUUCCCAAACCGUGUAUAUAUACCUUUGUUGCUUUGGCAGGCCGCCUCCGGGCGUCGGCUUCGGCUGAUUAGUGCCUGCCAGAGGACCCAAACUCGUUUGUUUAGUGAUGUCUGAGUACUAUAUAAUAGUUAAAACUUUCAACAACGGAUCUCUUGGUUCUGGCAUCGAUGAAGAACGCAGCGAAAUGCGAUAAGUAAUGUGAAUUGCAGAAUUCAGUGAAUCAUCGAAUCUUUGAACGCACAUUGCGCCCUCUGGUAUUCCGGGGGGCAUGCCUGUUCGAGCGUCAUUAUAACCAAUCACGCAAGUGGUCUUGGGGCUUGCCGAGUCGGCAUCCCUUAAAAACAGUGGCAGCGCUAUAGGCUCUCAGCGCAGUAAUUAUUUCGCUCGUGAGUCCUAGAACCACCCGCCAAAACCCCAACUUUCUCAAGGUUGGCCUCGGAUCAGGUAGGGAUACCCGCUGAACUUAAGCAUAUCAAUAAGCGGAGGA